rnacentral:rRNA from 1 species
UACGUAGGGGGCAAGCGUUGUCCGGAUUUAUUGGGCGUAAAGAGCGUGUAGGCGGCCAUACAGGUCCGUUGUGAAACUGGAGGCUUAACCUCCAGACGUCGAUGGAAACCGUAUGGCUAGAGUCCGGAAGAGGAGAGUGGAAUUCCUGGUGUAGCGGUGGAAAUGCGCAGAUAUCAGGAAGAACACCCGUGGCGAAGGCGGCAUUCUGGACCGAUAUUGACGCUGAGGCACGAAGCGUGGGGAUCAAACAG